ACGCACGCUGGCGGCGUGCUUCACACAUGCAAGUCGAACGAAGAGCGAUGGAAGCUUGCUUCUAUCAAUCUUAGUGGCGAACGGGUGAGUAACGCGUAAUCAACCUGCCCUUCAGAGGGGGACAACAGUUGGAAACGACUGCUAAUACCGCAUACGAUCUAAUCUCGGCAUCGAGGAUAGAUGAAAGGUGGCCUCUACAUGUAAGCUAUCACUGAAGGAGGGGAUUGCGUCUGAUUAGCUAGUUGGAGGGGUAACGGCCCACCAAGGCGAUGAUCAGUAGCCGGUCUGAGAGGAUGAACGGCCACAUUGGGACUGAGACACGGCCCAGACUCCUACGGGAGGCAGCAGUGGGGAAUCUUCCGCAAUGGACGAAAGUCUGACGGAGCAACGCCGCGUGAGUGAUGACGGCCGUCGGGUUGUAAAGCUCUGUUAAUCGGGACGAAAGGCCUUCUUGCGAACAGUUAGAAGGAUUGACGGUACCGGAAGAGAAAGCCACGGCUAACUACGUG
rnacentral:rRNA from 1 species